rnacentral:rRNA from 1 species
AUUGAACGCUGGCUGCAGGCCUAACACAUGCAAGUCGAACGAGUGGCGGACCGAUUAGUAAUGUCUGGGAAAAUGCCUGAUGGACGGGGAUAACUACUGGAAACGGUAGCUAAUACCGCAUACCAUCGGAUGUUCCCAGAUGGGAUUAGCUAUUAGGUGGGGUAAAGGCUCACCUAGUCGACGAUCCCGAGCUGGUCUGCGAGGAUGACCAGCCACACUGGAACUUAGACACGGUCCAGACUCCUACGGGAGGCCGCAGUGGGGAAUAUUGCACAAUGGGCGCAAGCCUGAUACAGCCAUGCCGCGUGUAUGAAGAAGGCCUUCGGGUUGUAAAGUACUUUCAGCGGGGAGGAGUUACCCGCAGAAGAAGCACCGGCUAACUCCGUGCCAGCAGCCGCGGUAAUUC